AGAACGAACGUUAGCGGCGCGCCUAACACAUGCAAGUCGCACGAGAAAGGGAUUCGUCCCCGGUAAAGUGGCGCACGGGUGAGUAACACGUGGGUAAUCUGCCUUCGAGUUGGGGAUAACAUUCCGAAAGGAGUGCUAAUACCGAAUAAGACCACGACCUCGAAAGAGGAUGCGGUCAAAGCUGGCCUCUAUACAUAAGCUAGUGCUUGAAGAUGAGCCCGCGGCGCAUCAGCUAGUUGGUAGGGUAAUGGCCUACCAAGGCUAAGACGCGUAGCUGGUCUGAGAGGAUGAUCAGCCACACUGGAACUGAGACACGGUCCAGACUCCUACGGGAGGCAGCAGUGGGGAAUCUUGCGCAAUGGGCGAAAGCCUGACGCAGCGACGCCGCGUGAGUGAUGAAGGCCUUCGGGGUUGUAAAGCUUCUGUGGGGAGAGAGAGAGAUUAGUAGAAGGGCUAGAUACCCUCCUANUGUAUGACGGGUAUCUCCUUAGCAAAGCACCGGGCUAA
rnacentral:rRNA from 1 species